GGCUAUUGGUACAUCGACCCUAGUUUGUUUGUUUCGAAGAAAUUAAUACUGCCGUCGAGAAAAAGAUAUUCAAUGCAACUGGCUUCCUGUUUCCGAACAUCUUCUGUGUGCACAAACGGUUCAGAUUUAUUAGCACUUUAUCAAACUGAAAUAUCAUCGAAUGCCUAUCGAAGAUUCCGAACGAGCUUUCCGAAUUGGUCAAUCUCCUGAUCUACCAUCUGUGUAUCGAUAUAUUAAAGAGACCGCCAAGGGGACCAUGAUUGACGAACAACGAUCGUGUUCCUCCGCAAGCAUGCCACUUCUCUGAGAAAGAUUGAGCCAUGUACGGCUGCGCCAAGUAGGUCUUCGCUGAUGAUGAACCAGAAGAUCGAAGGAGACAGACAGAGGGACAACAGGAAUCCGGUAUAUCCAUCGGAAGAGAUGCUAAAUAAAUAUGGAUCCGUGGUUGUAUGUGGUGUCAGUAAAGGCAGCUGAGGAAGCUACGGAGGAGUCGUAUAAAAAGUAGUGUGUCAGUGUUUGCUAAUUUUUGAUUUUUCAUUAUGAUUUAAAUAUAUGAAAACUAAUGAAUUCAA
rnacentral:lncRNA from 1 species